GGGGCGUGAGCUACCCAGCAAAACAUUAUAGUGUGACGCCAUAUAUGUUGCAGUAUAUAGAGUAAUAUUGUUGGUUAGGGGUGAUAGGCCUCACAAGCGCCCCGAUAACUUGUUACUUAGGACACAUAUUAAGUAUUAUCUCAUCUUUGAAGUGCUAAGGUUUCAAAGGCGUAUUAACUAGAAGGCGAAGAAGGUAAAUUAUUUAACAAUAAUUACUUGAUGUAGAUUAACACUCCUUAUAGAUGUUUAUAUAUUUUACUAAGUCACACUUUAAACAUUAUUCUGUGUUAUUACUGUUAAUAUAAGUAUGUGGAUAAAGCUUUGAUAGGAACUCGGCAAAUAUCUUACUCGUCUGUUUAUCAAAAACAUAGCUAAAUGUUUUAAAUAUUUAGUUGUUUCUGCUCAAUGGUUAAACUAAAUAGCCGCAGUACCCUGACUGUGCAAAGGUAGCAUAAUCAUUUGGCUUAUAAUUGAAGUCUGGCAUGAAUGAAUUAACGGGUAAGCACUGUCUUUCAAAGCAACUUAGAAGUUACUUAGUAGGUGAAAAUUCCUACAGGUAAAUAAUAGACGAGAAGACCCUAGAAAUUUUAUAUAAGUUAAUAGGCGUAUUAAUAUUAUUUUGUUGGGGCGACAGAAUAACACAUAACUUAUUUUAUUUAAUUAGAACUAAUUGGUGUGAGAAAUUAAAUUACUCUAGGGAUAACAGCAUAAUUUAUUAAAGUUUGUGACCUCGAUGUUGGACUAGGGACUAUAACACCCAGAAGGUGUUAUAAUAGGCUCUGUUCGAGCUUUGACCCCUACAUGAUCUGAGUCAGACCGCU
rnacentral:rRNA from 1 species